AUUGAACGCUGGCGGCAUGCUUUACACAUGCAAGUCGAACGGUAACAGGCCGCAAGGUGCUGACGAGUGGCGAACGGGUGAGUAAUGCAUCGGAACGUGCCCAGUCGUGGGGGAUAACGCAACGAAAGCUGCGCUAAUACCGCAUACGAUCUAUGGAUGAAAGCGGGGGACCGUAAGGCCUCGCGCGAUUGGAGCGGCCGAUGUCAGAUUAGGUAGGUGGUGGGGUAAAGGCUCACCAAGCCAACGAUCUGUAGCUGGUCUGAGAGGACGACCGGCCACACGGGGACUGAGACACGGCCCAGACUCCUACGGGAGGCAGCAGUGGGGAAUUUUGGACAAUGGGCGCAAGCCUGAUCCAGCAAUGCCGCGUGCAGGAAGAAGGCCUUCGGGUUGUAAACUGCUUUUGUACGGAACGAAACGGCUCUGGUUAAUACCUGGGGCUAAUGACGGUACCGUAAGAAUAAGCACCGGCUAACUACGUGCCAGCCGCCGCAGUAACAC
rnacentral:rRNA from 1 species